UUCUGUGUCAGCUGACGGCCAGUGGACUGCAGAGGCCAAAAAGCUGGUGCCUUCCAUAGAUGAGGCUGCUCUUCAGAUGGAAAUCUUGGAGAUGGGAACAUCUGAUUUGCUCAAAGCUCAACACAAGGAUGCACUGCAUUUUCUUCAAUGAAUGCUAUCAAGAGCCAGGACAGAAACAGACUCUCAGAUUCACAUCUUGGACAGUGCCUCAGGAUUGCCACAACAUAAUACAACCCUGACAUCAGAAAGGUUGCCUCAUCCCGUCGCUCUCACUUCUCUCACUGAUUGAAAGACCGCCUGAACGCAGAUAUCCAAAGCAUGGGUGUUCCAGACAGAAGUGGCCGCUGUGUGUGUGUGUGUGUGUGUGUGUGUGUGUGUGUGUGUGUGUGUGUGUGUGUGUGUGUGUGUGUGUGUGUGUGUGUGUGUGAAUGUGUUUGCUGGACUUUUUGUUUGCUGACUGUUUGCACAGAAUAUGCUCCAGGGGCAUUUCA